CAUAAUUUAAGAUCUAAGUUUUUUUUUUUAAGGUUAGCGCCAGGUUGUGGUUAAUAUAUUAGCGUGAUCUUAUUUUGAAAUGGUUAAGAUUGAUUGGUUAAUUGGUUAAGGGCUAGUUCAGAACAAAGUGGCGGCUUAUGUCAAACAUGAAUUGACAGAUUUAACAGGGAAAAUCAAACAUAGUUGGUGGUGAUGUUUAUUUUC